rnacentral:lncRNA from 1 species
GGCCAGCAUGGAUGGAGAGCUGGUUUUGGAGCCUUGAUGAAUAGACAGCGAAUCUUGGACCUGGAUUCAAAUCCUCAUCCCUGACACCUGCCUGCUGUGUAAUCCUGGGAAAGUCCCUUAACUUGAGUCCUUUGGGUAAGUUGGAGAAGAAGGUGCUGAAGCGCAUUGGUAGGGGGAGUUCUUGACCAGGAGCUCCUGAUAUCGACGAAAUCCAGUGCCUGUCCCUAGGAUUGAAAAUACCUGCUGCCUCUUUGGGAUUACAUGCCAUAGAGUUUCAUAAUAAAGCAAAAGUUUUAUUGCAACCUGAAUUAUAGAGUUUUUAAGAGAAAUCAAGUUUUAUGACUCAUUCAACAGAUAUUUCAUAUAAGUAAACUAUAUAUAAUUUACAUAUGGAAAUCAAAAUGAAAACUGACUGUUUAAUCUAGCAUUCAUUAACCAGACCCAUUUUAGACCUGUUUUAAUGAAUAAAAUCAUUAAAAGUAUACCAAUCUCGGUGGAUUGAGAGCCAGGCCUAGAGAGGGGAGGUCCUAGGAUCAAAUCUGGCCUCAGACACUUCCCAGCUGUGUGACCCUGGGCAAGUCACUUGACCCUCAUUGACUAGCCCUUACCACUCUUCUGCCUUGGAACCAAUACACAGUAUUGACUCCAAGACAGAGGUAAGGGUUUAAAAAAAAUGUAUGCCAAUCAAUAAAAAAAAAAAAGACAUUUCCCUUAAGAAAGUUAGCUGCCACUCCCCAGCUUUAAAAAACCUAUCAAUUUGCUUUAAAACCCUAGGGCAUCUAGGUAGCACAAUGAAUAGAGUCCCAAGCCUGAAGGAUUUGGAUUCAAAUCUUGUCUUGGACACUUCUUAGCUACAUGACCCUGAACUGGUCACUUAAUCCAAAUGACUACUCUUCUGCCUUGGAACCAAUACUUAAAAUCACUUCUAAGGCUGAAGGUAAGAGUUGGUUUUUUUUUUAAAGAAAGAAACAAGGCCUGUAAUGAUGCCACUGAAAGGUGUAAAACAGAAUUUCUUUCUUUUCCUCAUUCCCCAUCUUUCCCACUCUGCUUCUCUCUUCUCCUCCCCACCUUCUUUUCUCACUUCUGCCUCAAUCCUCUGUUUUCCUAGCCCUUCCCUUCUUAGAUUCUGCUCAGAACAGCACUGCAGGGGGAGGAGAUUUAAAAAAAGAAGAGAUUUUAUGGUCUCAUCUACUUACUUCAACACAUGCAUGAUGCUUUCUUCCCAGCAGCUGGAAGUCACUAACACCCUGGCUACUGAGGACAAAGUCAUUAAGACCAUCGUAUAUGAAUCAACUCAGCUAUUGAAGAUCAUUGGGCAGGAGGUUGUCACCAAGAUGGGCUGAACAAAAAGCUGCCCAUGAGAGUCGAAGCACCAACUUCCAAAAUCUCCUCUUGUUCCAUAAAUAUCUCCUGUCCCAUAGAUAUGUUCUGACCUGCUACCUUGGCUAACAUUUCCUCCAUUAAAGUUAUUCUUUUGGGUCUCUAAGAGAUCUAUUUGAAAUUCAAAAGCUUAUUUAGAGGCAGUACAUUCCUCAUUACCAGCUAAAUUCUUGGAAGCACCUAGUAGGGCUCUGAAGGAGAGGAAACACAGAAUAGGUGAGUUUUUUGGGUGACAAAUGGUAGGGAAAAGGCUGAGUACAUGAGGCAUUGAUUGAAGAAGGUAGAGUAAGGUGGAAAAACUGGAAAUCUAAAAAAAGGAAAAAUAACCAAAAAAAAGAAGAUGGAGUCUCCGAAGACCGUAGCUUUGCCCAGAGCCUUGAUGAGGGGCUGCCUCAUAUUUGACUUGAGGGCAGCUAGAUGGUGCAGUGGAAAACUUGGCCUGGAGACAGGAAGACUUUAGUUCAUGUCUAGUCUCAGACACUUACUAGCUGUGCAUUUCUGGGCAAAUCAUGUAACCCUGUUUGCCUCAGGUUCCUCAUCUGUAAAAUUGCAAACCACUCUAGAAUAUUUGCCAAGAAAAUUCCCAAUAGGGUCAUGAAAAUUCAGACAUGACUGAGCAACAACAAAAUGCAGUGUGAUUUAGAGCCAAGGGUCUCUUUACCUAAUAAAGCUUUCCCGUGCCAACCA